GCUCCACUCAAAUUAAUCUCCACUGGAUGGCCCAGUAAAGGAGCAGAGCCAUUUUUGGGAGCAAGGAGCCAUCUCCUAGGGGAGGCUGUGAGAAGACUGCAGAGGGCGAGUGUCUGUGGGAAAAUGUUGCCAGACAACACAGGGGUCAUCCAGCUGGUAGCAGUCGGUGAAUUGUGAAGAAAGUGGGAGAAGGGCGUUGACUUAGGACACCCCACCCCCAUCUCCUCCCACUUGUGAAACCUGGAGCCUAAACAUAACUUCGACAGACGCGGACAUAUUACUCUGGUGCAGCUGAGGCAAAUCAGUCAUCAUGUUAUCAAAAAAUAAUUAACUGAAUCUGAACAUCUCCACAAAAUGAACACUUGCCCAUAAAUCAGCACGAUAAGAAUUAACCACCUUCCAUUUGUUAUAAGCAGGCUUUAUGACCUAAAUUGCAGCCACUCAUCAGGGGGCGCUCUAAAGGUUCUGGCUUUACUUAAGGGUAGCUGUUGUUCUGUCCAUGUUUUGUACAGUCUGUGGAGUAGAGGAUGAUAAAGGGAUAUAGUGUGAUCUGCCUUGUGUUGAAAAUGGGCUCACCAUAAUUAUGAACAGAACCCAGAAAGUAUUGGACUGUACAACUCCUUACACACUCAAAACAUGCAAAACGUCACACUAAGAUAUGACUAAGAUGUCGUUAUGUUAGCAUCAGUUCAAAGCGCCUGUGUGCAGAACACUCUCUUGGAGCUGCUGGCAUGCCUGCAGAACAUUAGCUUAGUUUUUAACUUUAACAGCUUCUUUGUUGCAUUUUUCAACACCAUUGACAUUUUACUGCUUGGCUGCUCUUCACUCAUCUUAUUACAAACAGAUACUGGCGAUACUGGCUGAAUUGCAGGGUUGUAAGCACUUGAAAAAAUAUGCGAUAGUUUCAAUUGCUUUGAGCAUGUUUGUCGCAUUCGUUUCUUUGGCUGAUGAUCUCCUGAUCUUCAUGUUUCUCCAUCAGAGCUACCCCAAAA